GGGAGUUUAGCUCAGCUGGGAGAGCAUCUGCCUUACAAGCAGGGGGUCAUAGGUUCAAGUCCUGUAACUCCCACCA
rnacentral:tRNA from 1 species